CUUACUGGUAGCGCAGCUGUGAAGGAAGCAAAGGGCCAAUUAACGGAAACGCGAGAACAGUCACGUAUAUUUUGACAUGAGGCUUCCUCGUGAUGUUUCGAAAUUACCUGGGUCCUACGACCUCGAGAGAGAGGUGAAUAUCAUGAGCAUUGAUGAAUAUAAAUUUUAUGCAACGUUUUAUGACAUAAUACGAGCAAAAGACUGGGUAGAUGAUACGAGAAAAACGUAUGGGUUACUAUACAUAGGAUUGAAAACCACAAAGCAUCUAUUCACAGUUUGUGUUCACGCGAUGCUCGCGUGGUUACCAGUUCGAUGUUUGAAAAAUCUUAAAAAUCCUGUCAUUUUCUAAUUUCCCAGCGUGCAAUCUUGAGUGGACGUUGGUCCAUUGAUUAGAGGUUCCGGUGACACUCGGACUUCUCUUAUCUUCGCCAUUUUUCAUCGUGUACUCACUAUCGAAAUACUCAAGCGAGCGAAAAAAUUAUUUACUGCAUGCGAAAAAUGACUUCCAUUGCUAUUCCUUAAAUUUGUUAAACAUGAUUAAUCUGUCACCGUGAUGCAUCGAGGAUUAGUGAUUUAACGACUCUGGAAGGAAAAAAAACAAGAAUGAAACAAGAAAUACGUAUUGAAUUGCGAAUAAGAAUUUCGCAAUUGAUGGAUGCCAAGGAGUCAUCAAUCACGGUGCCGAUAUUCGCAAGUUUCAGAAAUUUUGUGGAUUUGGGUCGCGUCACGCUAGACAAAAUAAAAUUACGUAAUUCCAUCAGAGACGCUGUCUGCCUAUUUUGACCUUUCCGAGUAAUAGAUAUAGGCUUCGAGAAUCCAAAUAUAAUGAAGACAUAUAAGGAAGAAAACAGUCAUAGUAUAAUUAUCUUGUUGAUAUCUGUAGUAUACAUGAAAAUCAAAGAAUUAAUCAUUGUUUUGCUACCAAUUCGCUUUUUUUUUAAUAUCUUAUCUUUUUUUUAAUAGCUGUUUGUGCAUUAAUCCGUUGAUCAUCUAUUAUCAGAAAUUUGUUAAAAAACAUUAUCAGAGACAAAGAAUAAGGAUUAUUCAUAUGAUGGAUUAAGUUUUUUGUUCUUUUUUUUUUUGAAAUAAAAGAAAUGAUAAGAUGCGAAACAAGUAAAAUUGGUUUGAAAAUGGAAAGAAGAAAAAUUUUGCGAUAUUUCGACGAAAUAUUUUGACUGAAUAUUGCUGUUGGAUAAAAAAUUUGAAAGAAGAGAUAAUGAAAACAAAUGGAAAAUGAUGAUUUAUGUGAUUCGCACAGAUUCAAUCGCAUGCAAUGAAGAAUUAAAUAUCUACAAUUGACUCGUAGAACGAAUUAUC
rnacentral:lncRNA from 1 species